GAUGAACGCUGGCGGCGUGCCUAAUACAUGCAAGUCGAGCGAACAGACGAGGAGCUUGCUCCUCUGACGUUAGCGGCGGACGGGUGAGUAACACGUGGAUAACCUACCUAUAAGACUGGGAUAACUUCGGGAAACCGGAGCUAAUACCGGAUAAUAUAUUGAACCGCAUGGUUCAAUAGUGAAAGACGGUUUUGCUGUCACUUAUAGAUGGAUCCGCGCCGCAUUAGCUAGUUGGUAAGGUAACGGCUUACCAAGGCAACGAUGCGUAGCCGACCUGAGAGGGUGUUCGGCCACACUGGAACUGAGACACGGUCCAGACUCCUACGGGAGGCAGCAGUAGGGAAUCUUCCGCAAUGGGCGAAAGCCUGACGGAGCAACGCCGCUUGAGUGAUGAAGGUCUUCGGAUCGUAAAACUCUGUUAUUAGGGAAGAACAAAUGUGUAAGUAACUAUGCACGUCUUGACGGUACCUAAUCAGAAAGCCACGGCUAACUACGUG
rnacentral:rRNA from 1 species